GACGAACGCUGGCGGCGUGCUUAACACAUGCAAGUCGAACGGAAAGGCCUGCUUUCCCUUGUGGAUUGCGGGUACUCGAGUGGCGAACGGGUGAGUAACACGUGAGUGAUCUGCCCCCAACUUGGGUAUAAGCCUGGGAAACUGGGUCUAAUUCCCGAUAGGACUGCAGGGUGGUGCCUGUGGUGGCAAACGAUUUUCUAGUGGUUGGGGAUGAGCUCGCGGCCUAUCAGCUUGUUGGUGGGGUAAUGGCCUACCAAGGCGGCGACGGGUAGCCGGCCUGGGAGGGUGGACGGCCACAUUGGGACUGGGAUACGGCCCAGACUCCUACGGGAGGCAGCAGUGGGGAAUAUUGCACAAUGGGCGGAAGCCUGAUGCAGCGACGCCGCGUGGGGGAUGACGGCCUUCGGGUUGUAAACUCCUUUCGACCGCGAGGAAGCCACCUGGUUGGAAGGGUGGUGACGGUAGUGGUAGAAGAAGCACCGGCUAACUACGUG
rnacentral:rRNA from 1 species